UACGGGGGGAGCAAGCGUUGUUCGGAUUUACUGGGCGUAAAGGGCGCGUAGGCGGCGCAACAAGUCACUUGUGAAAUCUCCGGGCUUAACCCGGAGCGGCCAAGUGAUACUGUCGUGCUAGAGUGCGGAAGGGGCUACUGGAAUUCUCGGUGUAGCGGUGAAAUGCGUAGAUAUCGAGAGGAACACCUGCGGCGAAGGCGGGUAGCUGGGCCGACACUGACGCUGAGGCGCGACAGCGUGGGGAGCAAACAGG
rnacentral:rRNA from 1 species